GAUGAACGCUGGCGGCGUGCCUAAUACAUGCAAGUCGAGCGAACAGACGAGGAGCUUGCUCCUCUGACGUUAGCGGCGGACGGGUGAGUAACACGUGGAUAACCUACCUAUAAGACUGGGAUAACUUCGGGAAACCGGAGCUAAUACCGGAUAAUAUAUUGAACCGCAUGGUUCAAUAGUGAAAGACGGUUUUGCUGUCACUUAUAGAUGGAUCCGCGCCGCAUUAGCUAGUUGGUAAGGUAACGGCUUACCAAGGCGACGAUGCGUAGCCGACCUGAGAGGGUGAUCGGCCACACUGGAACUGAGACACGGUCCAGACUCCUACGGGAGGCAGCAGUAGGGAAUCUGCCGCAAUGGGCGAAAGCCUGACGGAGCAACGCCGCGUGAGUGAUGAAGGUCUUCGGAUCGUAAAACUCUGUUAUGAGGGAAGAACAAAUGUGUAAGUAACUAUGCACGUCUUGACGGUACCUAAUCAGAAAGCCACGGCUAACUACGUG
rnacentral:rRNA from 1 species